GCCACCUCUCGCAGUGCCGACUCCUCGCUGUCCGCCUCUCAUCUGCUCUGUGCAGGAGCGACCAGGACUGAGUCCAGAGGCUCUUACUGCAGUCUGCCCCUUUCCCUGCUGAAACGCGGAGGUGUGGGGUCAUUAACAGGGCAGAAAAAGUUCAAAGUGAACAUGUGAGGUCUCCAGUGACUCUUCAAGCAAGGUUACGAGAGCAUUAGCCUUCCUGGUGGCUUAAAGUCCCUUUUCACAGCUGACUAAACAUAAAUGGCACCGGUUUAACAAAGAGACACAGAUGGCAGAACUGAUUAUAGUCCACACCGAAUGAGGAGAUUGAUUCAACAAGCGCAUCACUUCAAAGUGGAAGAUGGCUUCUACUCUGUAAAUGCACAGGAAACAUGAAGCCACGCUGAGGUCGAGUUUUGGCACUCUGCUAUGAUUGACACAAUAUAAAAGAAUAAAGGCCCAAACAAGGCAAAAGGAAAAGAAAAAAAAACACCUUAGGAAAGUGUGAGACUCAGUAAAUCAAGCUAAGAAGUAGGCAGUCUGGGUGCCUUAAGGACUGGUGAAAAGUUGCAUCUUAGACCACAAGAUGGUUAUCUACAGAUAGGCCUCCUUCUAAUAACCAAAUGUCAUAGCCUAGUUGGGAACUAAGAAAUUAUUUCCUUAAAAUCGAUCCUAAUUAUAGGAUCGAUUAUAGGGCCUGUAAAAAAUAAGAAUAGAGCUAGAAUGCUAAAUGGCAGAGUAAACCAGCGGAAUAGCAUAAACUACCAUUCUGAAAGUUUGUUAUUGAAAUAAUUUAGUUAAUAUGGUUAUUGCCACUGCAAAUGCCUCUCCUCUCAAUCGUGAGUCUCCAAAGAGGAAAUGAAAAACUGGAAAUUCAAACUCCCAAUUUCUUGGCAUUAGAGACUCCCUUUAUUACCAUUUUGGAUUGCACAUACUCUGACAAUUUGUGAACACAUUCUACAAGUUCUAAACUACGGUGCUUCCAUACAGAAGCACAGGCAUACAUUAUAAGUGGAGCCUGAUCAACUGAUCAACCCUGUGAGAAAUGAGUAUGGGCACCAGAGAUGGACACUGUCUCCCUGCAGAGAUGUUGCAGCACUUACACUAAGGCAUGCAGACAGGUGUGGGCUCAUUUAAAAGCGGAGGGUACAAAUGAACACGGCAGUGGGCAGAGUAGCUCAGAUGAAAAUUUCACAGUGUCCAGUGAAAACAGCCUACAGUAAGUACCCAGGGAAGAAUAAAUGAACAGCCACAACAUACUAAUAUACUUCCAAUUUAGAUCUUUACCUAAGAAACAUCAUUCUAGGAGCCUUGCUCCAAAAGUAAUGCCUCCUGUUUUAUUAUGUUGGCUCACAACAUCAGAGGCAGAUGUUGGUGGUACAGCAAGAGGUUGAACCUUCCCACCAACAUUCCAUUACAUUUUGCUGCUGUGUUACAGAUGGCAGCAGAGCAACAGUAUGACAAAAUGGCAUCAAACAUGGAAGUGCAUAUUAGACAAAAGCGUGUCAUUGAAUUCCUUCAUGCAAAAAACAGCACCCUUUGACACCCACUGAUGCUUGCUGAACAUUUAUGGGGACCAAACAGUGGAUGUGAGCACGGUCAGGAGGUGGGUGGUAUGUUUCAGCAGUGGUGACAGCGACAGUGUGUCACCCCCACUGGUGCAGACUGCUCUGAGUAUGGCAUAUAGGCUCUUGUUAUUACUGGCGAUCAUGCAAAACCAACGGUGGUGACCAUGCUGAAAAACAGUGCUUGGGGGCUGAGAAUUUGCUCUAUCAAAAAUCGCUAUGUGCUCUUUGUAUUUGUUGUAGUUUCCAUGGACAUAAAUAGGAGGCACUGUUUUGAAGCAAGGAAUCAAUACACUGUAAAAACUUAGAUUUUAAUUUCCAGAAUGAAAAUACUGGAGUUGAUUACGACAGCAUCAGAACAAUAAAAGCCUUAGUGGAGUGGUUCAAAGCAUUAGUAGAUUCUUCUCUCAGCCAAUUCACAGAAUGACUCUAGCCUUUUUAUGACUCAAUUCAAACUUAGCUAGGAAUUUGCACACAGCGAGGCUGUUUUCACCAACAGGGUGAAGGCUUUCUACAUCUCUGUUACAUCAGCCUUGAAGAGAUGACUAGCAGUGAGUAAAUUAUUAUCUUAAGGUGGGGUAGGUUUGGCAGAUUUCCUUUUGGCAAAAUAAAACUGUAUGGUAACACAGCUCUCACUUGGGUGGAGGCAUACCAGGUAGCAGUGGGAAUAGCAGGAAAUGAUGACAAAGAAUCAUACCUGGCUCACCUGUUUGCACUGCCCCAGUCAAUGGAUGCUGAAGCCUUAUGGAAGCUUACCCACUCUUCAGGGAGAUGAAGUGAGGCAAAACUAUUUAUUACUGUUAUGAUCUUCAGUGAAGAAUGGCUACAUAACAAACAGCUGGACAUGUCAUUCCCAAUAUAAAACCCAUCAAACUGAACCUUCCUCAGUUUUGAGCUCUUAGUGAUUCAGCAGCAAAAAUUCCCAGCUAAGACCGUUUUGCGAAAUGGAAUGUUUUGAAGGACAGGGCUGUCUCCUCUUCUGCAUGAUCUCACACAUACAGCUAUAACCACAAACAUCCCUUGAACUGAUUCAGCAACAUCAGCAUCAACAUAAAACGUAUGACAAUGGCCAAAACUAGAACAAUUUCCAUUAAUUAAGAAAACAGUUCAAUGUAGAGGUUGUAAUAUUUUACAUUAUCAAUUACAUUUUAUUCUAUAUGAAUUGAAUGAACCAGCUUUUUAAAAAUUAUAUGUAUAAUAAAUGAUACAUGUCAGUCACAACUUUUCAUCCAUGAUUAAAAAGACUAGUAACUUACUGUGAAUUAUAAAUCUUUUACUUUUUAACUGAUGACUACUUGUGACCAUACUACAGAAACUGUCUGUUUUGAUACUGUGCCUUCACAUAGCUACCAUAUGUCCAUUAGUCUUCAAAUUUACUCCAACUUCUCUUUUUGACAAGAGUCAAUGGAGAGUAUAUUCCUGAAUGUAUUUCAGACUUUUGUAAGGGUUAUGGCACAGUCACAGAAUGGUAAUGUGAUCAUAGCAGAUAUGCCCUAUACAUUCACUUCAAGGGCUGAAUGAACAUUAUCUACCAGAAAGCUCACCCUCAGCCAUAAUUCUACAGAAAUAAAGAGAUUGCAGUUGAAAUUCAUGCUGCCAGAGGAUUUCUAUUCUGUAUUGCCUUCCAUUUCUUCCUUAAAUGAUCAUACAUAAACUCUUUAACUCCUUUUUAAGACAGGAAUAAAUAAGACAGAGAGGAAUUAUGUUUGAAUGGUUGAGGUUUGAUAACUUAGGCUCUAAAACAGAUUAUGAAGUCCAGAGAAAUACAGAAAGUGCAUUAGGGAAUAUAUAGACAGGAGAUUGUCAAAAAAGAUGAAAGAGAAGGAAUCUUUUGUCAGGUUAUCUUUGCAGUUGGAUUACUACAAGCCAGUAAAAGAAGUGGUAAAAAAUCUCUAUGUAAUAGAAUAUGUAUUUAUGGUUCCUUACCUCACAGCUUAACGUACAGUCCCAUAGCUACUACUUCAGGGGACUGAAGAAGGAGAAAUAACUUUGGUACCUAUGAAACAUUGCCUGCCUUUUUGGAGCAGCCAGCUGGAAUUGGCUAAAAUGCAGAAUGUCACAUCAAAUCUCAUACAGAUGAGAGGUUUGCUUGCUUUCCAGUAGAGAUAACAAUCGUGAUGAGCCAGCAGAACUCAGUCUGCAGCAAUAUGAAAGACAGCAUAUGAACAUUUACUAACUCUGAAUAACAGGAUGAGCCAACCUGCAACUGCACCACACCUUUGCAGGGUCAUGCAUUUAUUUAUUCACUUAUUUUUCCUUUGUAGAACAAUGUCAAGAGUGUGGCCUUUUUCUUUUUAUCUCUUCUGCAACCAACUCAUAGUCUGAGUCCUAACAACCAUGGUUUCAGAGAAUAUGGUGUGCUGGCACCAUGACAGCUUUUCUUUCUCUACAGCCUUGGAGAGCCUGAAAAUUCUCAUCAUUUUUUCAAAAACAGCUAGCUUGAGUGUGAACAAAAUCCUCCACAGAUGGGGGACAAGCUUGGGAAACAGCAGUAUGAGAGGUAAUAUUUUAUAAAGAAAAUGAUGAAUGAUUCCAAGAAAGAAAUUAGGAAGAAAUCAUCUCAGGCUUACGUGUAAAAGCACUGUGAUGUAAUGGAAAAUGUAUCGUGUUAUGGCCUCUGGUUUCAUAACAAAGGGAAAACUGUGAAGCUCAUUUCUGACAAUGUAAAAAAAUAAAACAGAAAGAGUAU
ensembl:lncRNA